AACGUAGGGGGCAAGCGUUGCCCGGAUUCACUGGGCGUAAAGCGGGUGUAGGCGGUCCUUUAAGUCAGGUGUGAAAUCUUGCGGCUCAACCGCGGAACUGCAUCUGAUACUGGGGGACUUGAGGACGGUAGAGGUCGGUGGAAUCCCCUGUGUACCGGUGAAAUGGGCAGAUAUAGGGGGGAACACCAGUGGCGAAGGCGGCCGGACUGGGCCCGAUCCUGAACGGCUGAGACC
rnacentral:rRNA from 1 species